GACGGAGGGUGCUAGCGUUGUUCGGAAUCACUGGGCGUAAAGGGCGCGUAGGCGGCUGUGGCAGUCGGGUGUGAAAGCCCGGAGCUCAACUCCGGAAUGGCACUCGAGACGCCACGGCUGGAGGCCGGAAGAGGAGGGUGGAAUACCCAGUGUAGAGGUGAAAUUCGUAGAUAUUGGGUGGAACACCGGUGGCGAAAGCGGCUCUCUGGUCCGGACCUGACGCUGAGGCGCGAAAGCGUGGGGAGCAAACAGG
rnacentral:rRNA from 2 species